rnacentral:piRNA from 1 species
UGAACUUCUGAUCCUUUUGCCUCCACCGC